AGCUCCAAUAGCGUAUAUUUAAGUUGUUGCAGUUAAAAAGCUCGUAGUUGGAUUUCGGGUGGGAGCGACCGGUCCGCCGUUCUGGUGUGCACUGUUCGGCCCCAUCUUGCUGUCGGGGACGCGCUCCUGGCCUUAACUGGCUGGGACGUGGAGUCGGCGAUGUUACUUUGAAAAAUUAGAGUGUUCAAAGCAGGCCUACGCUCUGAAUACAUUAGCAUGGAAUAACGCGAUAGGACUCUGGUCCUAUUGUGUUGGUCUUCGGGACCGGAGUAAUGAUUAAGAGGGACAGUUGGGGGCAUUCGUAUUUCAUUGUCAGAGGUGAAAUUCUUGGAUUUAUGAAAGACGAACUUCUGCGAAAGCAUUUGCCAAGGAUGUUUUCA
rnacentral:rRNA from 1 species